AGGACACUGGGUAGGGCACUAGCUAGGGCACUAGGAAGGGCACUGGGUAGGGCACUGGGUAGGGUACUAGCUAGGGCACUAGGAAGGGCACUGGGUAGGGUACUAGCUAGGGCACUAGGAAGGGCACUGGGUAGGGCACUAGCUAGGGCACUAGGAAGGGCACUGGGUAGGGCACUGGCUAGGGCACUAGGAAGGGCAUUAGGUAGGGCACUGGGUAGGGCACUAGGUAGGGCACUGGGAAGGGCACUGGGUAGGGCACUAGCUAGGGCACAUUUAUGUUAGACCCUAGGUAGGGAGCACACUUAGUGAGUUAAAUUAAAUUCAAUUAAAAUGAAUUCCCAGAAGGUUUUAUGACCGAAUUAAACACCGCCG
ensembl:lncRNA